rnacentral:rRNA from 1 species
UACAGGGGUCUCAAGCGUUGUUCGGAUUCAUUGGGCGUAAAGGGUGCGUAGGCGGCGCGGUAAGUCGGGUGUGAAAUCUCGGGGCUUAACUCCGAAACUGCAUUCGAUACUGCCGUGCUUGAGGACUGGAGAGGAGACUGGAAUUUACGGUGUAGCGGUGAAAUGCGCAGAUAUCAGGAGGAACACCAGUGGCGAAGGCGGUGGUCUGGGCCGGAACUGACGCUGAGGAGCGAAAGCGUGGGUAGCAAACAGG